AAUAAAUGCAGUUUUACACUGUUCAUAUUCAACGUUUGACCGUUCGUCUUUUUUUAUUUUUUUAUGACUGUACUUUUAUUGUUAUUAGAUAAUAAAACAUGAAUAAUACUUUAUGUGUGUCUAAAUUUUUGUUAGCUUUUUCAUAUUUUUUUUUCAAAUAAGACGGACGGUCAAACGUUGGACACGGGUACCAACGAUUACACUUAUU
rfam:Oryza rufipogon genomic scaffold, chr08